rnacentral:rRNA from 1 species
AACGCUAGCUACAGGCUUAACACAUGCAAGUCGAGGGGCAGCACGGGAGUAGCAAUACAACUGGUGGCGACCGGCGCACGGGUGAGUAACGCGUAUGCAACCUACCUAUCAGAGGGGAAUAACCCGGCGAAAGUCGGACUAAUACCGCAUAAAACAGGGGCACCGCAUGGUGAUAUUUGUUAAAGAAAUUCGCUGAUAGAUGGGCAUGCGUUCCAUUAGGUAGUUGGUGAGGUAACGGCUCACCAAGCCGACGAUGGAUAGGGGAACUGAGAGGUUGGUCCCCCACACUGGUACUGAGACACGGACCAGACUCCUACGGGAGGCAGCAGUGAGGAAUAUUGGUCAAUGGGCGGGAGCCUGAACCAGCCAAGUCGCGUGAAGGAAGAAGGAUCUAUGGUUCGUAAACUUCUUUUGCAGGGGAAUAAAGUGCAGGACGUGUCCUGUUUUGUAUGUACCCUGAGAAUAAGGAUCGGCUAACUCCGUGCCAGCAGCCGCGGUAAUACGGAGGAUCCGAGCGUUAUCCGGAUUUAUUGGGUUUAAAGGGUGCGUAGGUGGUUUGAUAAGUCAGCGGUGAAAGUUUGCAGCUUAACUGUAAAAAUGCCGUUGAAACUGUCGGACUUGAGUGUAAAUGAGGUAGGCGGAAUGCGUGGUGUAGCGGUGAAAUGCAUAGAUAUCACGAAGAACUCCGAUUG